AUUUAUGUAAUAUAUAAAGUAUAUUUAACUUCCAAUUAAAAAGAUUAAUAAUUUAACAUAAAUA
rnacentral:tRNA from 1 species